rnacentral:lncRNA from 1 species
GAAGAUUAUAAACAAGAGUGCACACGCUGAAAUGUCUCGCCUUCUAUACUAAUCAUUGAUAUUAUGUUGAUAGUCCUAAGUAAAAAGCUAAGCUUUAAAACAACUGUACCAUAAACUUAACAUUAACCAAGAUAACUAAACAAAGACCAAUGAACCUUGAAAAUGAGGUCAAGGUCAGAUGAACCAUGCCAGGCAGACAUGUACAGCUAACAAUGCUUCUAUACAACAUAUAUAGUUGACCUAUUACUUAUAGUUUGGAAAAAUAGACCAAAACACAAAAACUUAACACUGUGCAAUGAACCGUGAAAAUGAGGUCACGGUCAAAUAAAACCUGUGCGACUGACAUAAAGAUCAUUAAAUAUUUCCAUACACCAAAUAUAGUUGACCUAUGGCAUAUAGUAUUAGAUAAAAAGACCAAAACUCAAAAACUUAACUUUGACCACUGAACCAUGAAAAUGAGGUCAAGGUCACAUGACAUCUGCCGCGUAGACAUGUACACCUUACAAUCAUUCCAUACAACAAAUAUAGUAGACCUAUUGCAUAUAGUAUGAGAACAACAGACCAAAACACAAAAAUUGAACUAUAACCACUGAACCAUGAAAAUGAGGUCAAGGUCAGAUGACACCUGCCAGUUAGACAUGUACACCUUACAGUCCUUCCAUACACCGAAUAUACUAGCCCUAUUGCUU